rnacentral:misc_RNA from 1 species
UAGUGCUCUUGGACACUGAGAA